rnacentral:misc_RNA from 1 species
AACGCACAUUGCACCUUUUGGUAUUCCAGGAGGUAUGCCUGUUCGAGCGUCAUUUCAACCCUCAAGCUCAGCUUGGUAUUGGGUGUCACUUAGUUAGGUGCACCUUAAAAUUAGUGGCGGUGCCAUCUAACUUCAAGUGUAGUAAACUUCUCGCUUUGGAGGUUAGAUGUGUGUUUGCCAUCAACGUUUUAUUUUUCAAUGGUUGACCUCGGAUCAGGUAGGGAUACCCGCUGAACUUAA